rnacentral:rRNA from 1 species
UGGCGGACGGGUGAGUAAUGUCUGGGAAACUGCCUGAUGGAGGGGGAUAACUACUGGAAACGGUAGCUAAUACCGCAUAACGUCGCAAGACCAAAGAGGGGGACCUUCGGGCCUCUUGCCAUCGGAUGUGCCCAGAUGGGAUUAGCUAGUAGGUGGGGUAACGGCUCACCUAGGCGACGAUCCCUAGCUGGUCUGAGAGGAUGACCAGCCACACUGGAACUGAGACACGGUCCAGACUCCUACGGGAGGCAGCAGUGGGGAAUAUUGCACAAUGGGCGCAAGCCUGAUGCAGCCAUGCCGCGUGUAUGAAGAAGGCCUUCGGGUUGUAAAGUACUUUCAGCGGGGAGGAAGGGAGUAAAGUUAAUACCUUUGCUCAUUGACGUUACCCGCAGAAGAAGCACCGGCUAACUCCGUGCCAGCAGCCGCGGUAAUACGGAGGGUGCAAGCGUUAAUCGGAAUUACUGGGCGUAAAGCGCACGCAGGCGGUUUGUUAAGUCAGAUGUGAAUCCCCGGGCUCAACCUGGGAACUGCAUCUGAUACUGGCAAGCUUGAGUCUCGUAGAGGGGGGUAGAAUUCCAGGUGUAGCGGUGAAAUGCGUAGAGAUCUGGAGGAAUACCGG